UACGUAGGGUGCAAGCGUUGUCCGGAAUUAUUGGGCGUAAAGAGCUCGUAGGCGGUUUGUCGCGUCUGCUGUGAAAACUCAGGGCUUAACUCUGAGCUUGCAGUGGGUACGGGCAGACUAGAGUGCGGUAGGGGAGACUGGAAUUCCUGGUGUAGCGGUGAAAUGCGCAGAUAUCAGGAGGAACACCGGUGGCGAAGGCGGGUCUCUGGGCCGUAACUGACGC
rnacentral:rRNA from 1 species